rnacentral:rRNA from 1 species
AAGAACAAGUGCCGUGCGAAUAGAGCGGCACCUUGACGGUACCUGACGAGGAAGCCCCGGCUAACUACGUGCCAGCAGCCGCGGUAAUACGUAGGGGGCAAGCGUUGUCCGGAAUUAUUGGGCGUAAAGCGCGCGCAGGCGGUUCCUUAAGUCUGAUGUGAAAGCCCACGGCUCAACCGUGGAGGGUCAUUGGAAACUGGGGAACUUGAGUGCAGAAGAGGAGAGUGGAAUUCCACGUGUAGCGGUGAAAUGCGUAGAUAUGUGGAGGAACACCAGUGGCGAAGGCGACUCUCUGGUCUGUAACUGACGCUGAGGCGCGAAAGCGUGGGGAGCAAACAGGAUUAGAUACCCUGGUAGUCCACGCCGUAAACGAUGAGUGCUAGGUGUUAGGGGGCUUCCACCCCUUAGUGCUGAAGUUAACGCAUUAAGCACUCCGCCUGGGGAGUACGGCCGCAAGGCUGAAACUCACAGGAAUUGACGGGGGCCCGCUACUGCGGUGGAGCAUGUGGUUUAAUUCGAAGCAACGCGAAGAACUUUACAGGUCUGACCUUUCGGACACCCUGGACACAGGGCGUUCCCUUCGGGGAC